rnacentral:piRNA from 1 species
UGUCCAGAUCUUUCAGCCUUUGAUGCUCU